rnacentral:lncRNA from 1 species
AAUUGAAAAAAAAAAAAAAAAAAAAAAAAAAAAAAAAAAAAAAAAAAAAAAAAAAAAAAAAAAAAAAAAAAGAAAAAAAGAAAGAAAAAAAAAAAAAAAUAAAAAAGUACACU